UUCUUGUUUAGAUUUCUUGUUUGUAUUUUUGGUCUGUGACAGUUUGUCGAGACUGCCUUUAUCUUAAUAUCAGAGCUUAGUUCUUUGAGGCAGAGAGUGGACUACCCCUUUUCUUGGAGAUACUUGAGCGUUCUAAGGGUUGCGGAUUACCCUCUCUUGGACUGAUAUUAAUUCCUUCUCUUUGUUUAGCAUAGCUAGUAGAAAAGACUGUUAACAUCGAUUUCAGAGCUUUGCCUUCUUGAUAGAGUGCGGAUUACCCCUCUUCUCGAAAGCAUUGAGGCAUUUUUAGAGGUUGCGGAUUACCCUCCUCUAAAACUGAAAUCGUUUAGUGUUUUUCUUUUUUCUUUUCUCCGAGUAGGUUUUAAGUAGUGCUACAAUUUUCUCCAAGAGACUUAGCAAUUUCUUCUUCU
rnacentral:lncRNA from 1 species